rnacentral:rRNA from 1 species
ACGCUCGACACCUACGGGAGGGAGCAGUGGGGAAUAUUGCACAAUGGGGGAAACCCUGAUGCAGCGACGCCGCGUGGAGGAAGAAGGUCUUCGGAUUGUAAACUCCUGUUGUUGGGGAAAAAGAGGAUGGUACCCAACAAGGAAGUGACGGCUAACUACGUGCCACAGCCGCGGUAAUCUGAGCGGGCUGGCAAGGC